AGGUGAAGGGAAUUUCUGUUCCAAAGUUCUUACGAAAUAUUUAUGAAUGCUGCAGUGUGAUGGUGGACUAAUUGUAGUGCGUAACUGUUUGCAGCCAAUCAAGGAGUCUGCUCUAGGGAACAUCCCGACCAUUGCCUUCUGCGACACUGACUCUCCGAUGCGGUAUGUCGAUAUCGGCAUCCCUGCCAACAACAAGGGGAGGAACAACAUUGGAUGCCUGUUCUGGCUUUUGGCCAGGAUGGUUCUGCAGAUGAGGGGCACUAUCCUCUCUGGGCACAAGUGGGAAGUCAUGGUUGAUCUGUUCUUCUACAGAGACCCAGAGGAAGCAAAGGAGCAGGAGGAGGAAGCUGUUGCGGCCCCUGAGUUUGCUACAGUAACUGAUUACCAAGGAGAUGAUCAGUGGGGUGGUGACCAGUGGACCUCGGAUGUGGCUGCAU